AGAUGAUGGCGUCGGUUUGGAACUCCGAAUUUUUCCUCGGAAAAAGUUUUCCCUCAAAGCCAAAAUGGAUGAAAAAAUGUGUUGAGUUUUCGCAAUACUAUAGACAAUUCGAUCUUUUCGAAAGGUUAAUUUUCUCAUUUCCCAAAUAACCUGUUUUGGUUCCGUGGAGUGGGAAUUUUUAAUGUUAAAUGGGAAUUCGCAUAGUGUGCCAUCUCUUUGGGAACAGGAUUAAAAGUCGAAUUUAAAAAGGAUUGAGUGAGUUUUUAAUUUUUUUUAACUAUCAUCUCAGUAAAAAUACAGUUGAUAGUCAAAUUUAAAAAAUAUAAAUUCAGUGCGUG